CGAACUUUCCCGAUGAUUGAAGCUUGCUUCAUGAAUCGGAUCUAAGUGAGUGGCGGACGGGUGAGUAACACGUGGGUAACCUGCCCGAAAGUGGGGGAUAACAUUUGGAAACAAGUGCUAAUACCGCAUAACAACUACUUUCACAUGAUCGUAGUUUAAAAGAUGGCUCUGCUAUCGCUUUUGGAUGGACCCGCGGCGUAUUAGCUAGUUGGUGAGGUAAAGGCUCACCAAGGCAAUGAUACGUAGCCGACCUGAGAGGGUAAUCGGCCACAUUGGGACUGAGACACGGCCCAAACUCCUACGGGAGGCAGCAGUAGGGAAUCUUCCACAAUGGGCGAAAGCCUGAUGGAGCAAUGCCGCGUGAGUGAAGAAGGUUUUCGGAUCGUAAAACUCUGUUGUUGAAGAAGAACAUGCGUGAGAGUAACUGUUCACGUACUGACGGUAUUCAACCAGAAAGCCACGGCUAACUACGUGCCAGCAGCCGCGGUAAUACGUAGGUGGCAAGCGUUGUCCGGAUUUAUUGGGCGUAAAGAGAAUGUAGGCGGUUUAUUAAGUUUGAAGUGAAAGCCCUCGGCUCAACCGAGGAAGUGCUUCGAAAACUGGUAAACUUGAGUGCAGAAGAGGAAAGUGGAACUCCAUGUGUAGCGGUGGAAUGCGUAGAUAUAUGGAAGAACACCAGUGGCGAAGGCGGCUUUCUGGUCUGUAACUGACGCUGAGAUUCGAAAGCAUGGGUAGCAAACAGGAUUAGAUACCCUGGUAGUCCAUGCCGUAAACGAUGAGUGCUAAGUGUUGGAGGGUUUCCGCCCUUCAGUGCUGCAGCUAACGCAUUAAGCACUCCGCCUGGGGAGUACGAUCGCAAGAUUGAAACUCAAAGGAAUUGACGGGGGCCCGCACAAGCGGUGGAGCAUGUGGUUUAAUUCGAAGCAACGCGAAGAACCUUACCAGGUCUUGACAUACCAUGAAAAGCUAAGAGAUUAGUCUUUCCCUUCGGGGACAUGGAUACAGGUGGUGCAUGGUUGUCGUCAGCUCGUGUCGUGAGAUGUUGGGUUAAGUCCCGCAACGAGCGCAACCCUUAUUAUCAGUUGCCAGCAUUCAGUUGGGCACUCUGGUGAGACUGCCGGUGACAAACCGGAGGAAGGUGGGGGACGACGUCAAAUCAUCAUGCCCCUUAUGACCUGGGCUACACACGUGCUACAAUGGUCGGUACAACGUGCUGCGAACUCGCGAGGGCAAGCAAAUCACUUAAAACCGAUCUCCAGUUCGGAUUGUAGGCUGCAACUCGCCUACAUGAAGCUGGAAUCGCUAGUAAUCGCGGAUCAGCAUGCCGCGGUGAAUACGUUCCCGGGCCUUGUACACACCGCCCGUCACACCAUGAGAGUUUGUAACACCCAAAGCCGGUGGGGUAACCCUUCGGGGUAGCUAGCCGUCU
rnacentral:rRNA from 2 species